rnacentral:rRNA from 1 species
AGAUGGCGACCGGCGCACGGGUGAGUAACACGUAUCCAACCUGCCGAUAACUCGGGGAUAGCCUUUCGAAAGAAAGAUUAAUACCCGAUGGCAUAAUAGAACCGCAUGGUUUGAUUAUUAAAGAAUUUCCGUUAUCGAUGGGGAUGCGUUCCAUUAGGCAGUUGGUGGGGUAACGGCCCACCAAACCUUCGAUGGAUAGGGGUUCUGAGAGGAAGGUCCCCCACAUUGGAACUGAGACACAGUCCAAACUCCUACGGGAGGCAGCAUG